rnacentral:rRNA from 1 species
AGCUCAGCAUUGGGCGUAAAGCGUGCGCAGGCGGCUAUGCAAGACAGAUGUGAAAUCCCCGGGCUCAACCUGGGAACUGCAUUUGUGACUGCAUGGCUAGAGUACGGUAGAGGGGGAUGGAAUUCCGCGUGUAGCAGUGAAAUGCGUAGAUAUGCGGAGGAACACCGAUGGCGAAGGCAAUCCCCUGGACCUGUACUGACGCUCAUGCACGAAAGCGUGGGGAGCAAACAGGAUUAGAUACCCUGGUAGUCCACGCCCUAAACGAUGUCAACUGGUUGUUGGACGGCUUGCUGUUCAGUAACGAAGCUAACGCGUGAAGUUGACCGCCUGGGGAGUACGGCCGCAAGGUUGAAACUCAAAAAAUUAGACGG